rnacentral:misc_RNA from 1 species
UUAAAUCGGCGUAGAAGAGACGUAUUGCGAAAAUGUUAUUGUAGUUUUAUUCGAAGAAAAGGUACAAAUCACAAACGUGUCAUCGAAAUAUUCAUUAGGUCCUGAAAGGAAAUAACAAAACAAAGAGGCACCUUUCAAUAUAAACGCAAUCCACGGCAGAUAUCAAAAGGAACAAAAUAUCAAAGAUUGUUUUGUCCCUAGUAGCACCUAAUUGAACGUAGAUGGAAAGAUAUAAUGCCCACGGCCUGGCCUUAUUUUACGCUCAACGAUGAAAAUUAACAUGAUAUAUGCGUAACAUGCCAAGUGCGAAAGUAAUGUUAGCUGUUUUACAAUAGUCUCACACAGGUUUCUGUUUCAAAGGGUUGGUGAAGACACCAUCAUCGAUAUUUAACUUCAGGAGACCGCUGAGAGUACCUUGCAUCCAAAACUCAUUUCGCAAAAAGGAUAAACGCUGCCUAAUUCAUCUUUGCAAUAUCAAGGCAUUCUCAGAGGAAAGACGCCACCAAGGGUCGACAAGACUCUUACGAUAACAUGCCAGCGCCUUCGUCAAAGACAAGCUGCAGGUUUGAGAGUUCCAGAAUAACAGUAAGUCAGCAACGUAUUUCGGGCGCUCCCAAAAAAGAACUGAAUCGGAUGACGUUCUGCACCGAUACACUUUUUUAAAAGGUAACUGAGCUGCGUAACCAGUAACUGAAACGAAACACUAGGUUUUCUCAAAGUUUAGGUCAGUUAAAAAGAAAUAGACUAAUAUCGUCACUUUCGACAUGAUGAUGUUUCUAUUCUUGAUGUUCUUUAAGAAUCUUCUUGUCUCCCUUAACCGUAAUGUCAUUAAAGUAGCUAUCACAUGCUACCUUUUAUUAUUGAUGAUGAUCAGCUUUCAUUACGACCUCUACAGUAAAAUGACAUUUAAAUAAUGAUUCAGAACGUGCCGAGAUAAUUUUUUCAAAGUAUGAACCAAGGAUUCUCGUUCAGAAAUCGACCCAACCAUGAUGUUUCGUGGUUUCAAGCAUGACUGAUUUAAAAUUGUUUUUGCCUUGCAGUUUUUUGUUUGGACAUUCAGUUCUCAGUGCGAACACUUUAAUAAUUUUCUGAUGUUACUGAAAACAAAAAAGGAAACAGGGUUUAUCGCCAGAG